ACGUGCGUGCGCAUACACACCACCCCUCACCUCGCUGCUGCUGCUGUGACAGCUCUACGCACCCUGCCCAGUCGUUGCGCCCCCGCCGCUCGCCUCUGUUCCCCGCACGAGGCUACGCACGACGUGUCGGCGACCCCGCACUGCUCUUGACGCUGGCUGCGAAUGGCGCUGUGCGUGCGUCGGCUGGUGCUGGCGGCGACCCUGGCCGCUGUGGUGGCGCUGCUGCCGUGCACGAGCAGCGCACCGGUGGCGCGUGCUGCUGGGAGGGACGACUUCAAUGAUCAGCAGCGGAAGAAUACUGUGGCGGUGCUGCAGGCGUUUGCGCGUGCGAUUCCUGAUCUUGGCAAGAAGUGGAAGGGCGACGACUUGUGCGGAUGGGACUACGUCAAGUGCUUCUCGACCACUGCCGGCGUGUGGCUGGAACGUGUGAACUAUAUCGGCACGCUGCCGGAGAUGCCUGCGGGCGUCGACUACAGGCACGUCAGGAUCACGCAGCUCCACCUCAGCGCGAUGCAUCUGGGGCUGAGCGGGACGCUGCCCGCCUCGUGGAGCUCGAUGACAUCGCUGGUGUCGUUGUGGCUUGAAAGGUGCGAACGUGUCACCGGGACGCUGCCCGCCUCGUGGAGCUCGAUGAAAGCGCUGAGAGAUCUCAAUCUGCAUGGCGCGAAGGUUUCCGGCACGCUGCCGCCCCAGUGGAGCUCAAUGACGUCUGUGGCCAUUCUUUAUUUGGGGCUCACGAAGAUCUCCGGCACGCUGCCGCCCCAGUGGAGCUCGAUGAGAUCGCUGAACGUUCUCGAUCUGCAGGGCACCAAGGUCUCCGGCACGCUGCCUCCUCAGUGGAGCUCACUGAGAUCGCUGACCCUUUUCGAUAUGGAGGGCACUCAGGUCUCCGGCACGCUGCCGCCCCAGUGGAGGUCGAUGAGAUCGAUGAACGUUCUCGAUCUGCAGGGCACCAAGGUCUCCGGCACGCUGCCUCCUCAGUGGAGUGUCAUGAAGAAGGCCAAGGUUCUGCAGCUGCAGAACUGCGACCUGUCCGGCAGUCUGCCCUCCUCGUGGUCUGCGAUGCCGAAGCUGGCGAAAGUCUUACUGAGCGGCAACCACUUCUGCGGGUGUGUGCCUGAGUCGUGGGCCAGGAAGGCGGGCCUUAAUGUGAGUAUCGAGGAUAAGCACAAGGGCAGCAACUGCAUUGCUGGUGCGGACUGCACAACGACGGCUGCCCCGGAAACGACAACCAGUAAACCGCCCACCACGACCACCACUAAACCGCCCACCACGACCACCACUAAACCGCCCACCACGACCACCACUACGCCCCCCAUCACCACCACUGCUGAACCCCCCACCACCACGACCACAACAACUACUCAGCCGCCGACUGCACCCCCCACCACGACCACUGCGAGCCCAACAGCCACGCCUACUCUUGCCCCCGAGACGGAGUGCGAGGUGGAUGGGUGUGAGGUGUGCGAGGGGGACUCCGCGGCGAGGUGCGCCAGGUGCCGUGAGGGCUACUUCCUGACGAGCGAGAAGACGUGCCGGGCCAACGGCGAUGGCGGCGUUGCGGCCGCGUCGAGCGGAGCGGCUGCUGCCGCUGCUGUGUGCAUGGCUGUGCUGCUGAGCGUGGGGCUGGCGGCGUGAGGAUGCCGCUGCUGCCACGCGCAGGCGGCGGCACCCGCUGCGUGGCACACGGCUGCGUGCGUGCCUGUGGGCUGAUGGGGGCGGAGCGCGGGUGUGUGUGGAGCGGGGCAGCCGCUGGAGAGAGGGGGAGGGGGCGGUAGCCGAUGUGCAAGGGCCGCGGUGUUUGUGCGGCCAUGUGCGGCGUGCGGCACACGGGCGCUGCGUGCACCGGCUUGGGACCGACAGCCCGCACCCCCUUCCGUCGCCUCCACUUCUCCCUCGCUCCCUCGUUGCAGGUGAGAGGCGCGCACCCGUGGCUGCUGCGGCGCACACGCAAGGCAGCGUGUAUUGUGUCUCGGUGCGACCUCUGCAUGGCGGCCCCGCUCUGCGACACCUUGUUGCCCGGGCACUCCGGCGGCGUGCGCUCUGUCCCCCUCUCCUGUCACGUGUCGUGAUGCGCUGCUGCGCUGAGGAUGCGUGCCACGGCCUGCCAGCACGGCUGCUGCACGAGCCGCAGCAAUGGCGUACAGCAGGGUGUGGGCGUCGGGCGCAGUGCUGCUCUGGUGAGGCGGACCCCUCUUAUCUGUGGUGCCCCUGCUGCCUCCCCUCCCCCUCGGCACGACGCCCUCGCUGCCCUCUCACCCCCGGCUGCUACAGGAGAGACCGAUGCCCACGCGCGGACGCAGACACACACCAUCGUGCACCGUUCGCGCUUUCCCCCGCUGUCGCGCCGGCACGGAUGCACGAGGAUGCGGGGGCGUGCGCACGUAUGUGCGUGUGUGCGUGCCGGCUGUUGUCUGUCGCUCUCUCUCUGCGACCAGCACUCGGCACCCGCGCCGAUGGAAUGUGUGCGCGGCGGUGGAGGCUCGCCUUGGGCCGCGGGUGCGGACGUCCGCCACUGGCUGUCUGCGGUGCGGGCUGCUGUGCUGCAGCGCCUCGAGGCCCCCCUCUCCCGCCAGGGCGAGCGAGCGAGCCUCUGCUGCCGUGUGGGCGACGCACGCAUGCACCGUCCGGGCCUCUUCAACGGGCUUCGAUAGCGGUGCUGUGUUUUGGCCGUGUGGGCGGGUGCUGCGGAGGCGCCUGGUGUGGCUGUGCUGGCACGCCUUGCCGCGCCCCUUGCGCCGCUGCCAUCGGCGGCUUCGUCGCUGACGCUGCCGCUCGCACGCGUGCUCGGGUCGUCUGUGCAGCAGCGGUGGUGUGCCGGAGUCGGCGGCACGCCGUCGAACCGUGAUUGGCGCCUCCGCGAGGUGCGACGGGGAAGCUGGGGGGAUGGGGAGGGCGUGGGCGCCCUCGUGCGCGGCAUGCAGGGAUGCGCGUGCGGCGGCGCUCUACCACGCUGAGUAGUGAGGCUCGGUGCACGCGGCGCGAUGGCACGCAGCCUCGCUACCGGGCCACCCCGCUGUGCGUAGGCAGCGGGUGAGCAGGCCCGUGCUCUCCCCUGCACCUUGCCUCUCUCCCCCACCCUCCUCUCUCGCAUGCCGGCGAGGGAGGGGUGGCACGUGCGCGUGUGCCGCUGCGCUUGCGAGUGCGUCUGUGCGUGGGCCCUCACCACGUGCUCCGGUCACGCCUUCUCGGCUGGCCACUCGCGGCGCUGAGGGCGGUGUGCCCCUCCCCCGAGCGCCGUCGCACUCUCUUCCGCGCGCCUGCGCGGGCUUCUUCGUGUGCUGUGCUCAGCCGUGCGCUCUCACCUCUUUCCCUUUUCAUUCGCUUGUCUUCCCUCUUCUCCCCCGCACUGCGGUCUCCCCUCCUCUGCCGUGCGGUGCGCAGGCGGGUGACUUGCCGUUGCGUCUCCCCCUUUCGUGGAGCGCUGAGCCGAUCCCCCUUCGGCCUCCCUCCUCCCUCCUCCCUCCUCCCGUGGGUCCUGUCUGUUGUACAUCGUCGGACCGUCUCUGAGCAUCGCCUCUCCGCCUCGUCCGCAGAGCCGCGCUCGCCUGUGCCGCCUCUCGGACUUUAUCCUUACUGUGUAUUCUCACGGUGCGUCUCCGUGUGUGUGUGUGCCACGCACCGCUUCUUCCAUGUGUGUCCUUGCUUGCUCUCUUCUGCCCCCCCCCCCCCCCUCUGCCUCACACAUUCCGUGCGUGUGUGCAUCACCGUUGGGCGGCGACAUCGGUGCCCGUCCCUGCCACCCUCUCCUCCCUCAUUCGCAUCUUGCCACAUCGUGGGCGGUGCGUGCAUGCAUGGAUGUAUAUACACGCACAGAGGGGUGGGGACGCGUGCAUGUGUGCGCGUACACACGCAUGUGUGUCAGUGCACCACUAUAUAUAUGUGUGUGCGUGUACGCCGACAGACAGGUGUGUGGGUGCGCAUGUACAUGUAGACAUGCGUAUCGAUGUAUAUAGCCAACCGCGUGCCGUGUGUAGGCGUGUGUGCGUGUAUAUCAGUGUGUGCCGGCACGUGUGUCGCGCCACGCUCUCUUGCCCGCCUCCCCUGUGCCUGUCACUCGCUCUGGGCGCGCUGGCGGCGGGCGCCGGGUGGUGGCCGCGCGGAAGGUGGGUGGCGGCCCUUCCCUAUUUCUGUCUUUCGCUAUUUCUCUGUUUCCUACUCGCGUGAACAAACGAAAGCUGCUC
rnacentral:misc_RNA from 1 species